rnacentral:rRNA from 1 species
GCAGAACAGCUGGCGGCGUGCUUAACACAUGCAAGUCGAACGAGAAGCCUUCGGGUGGAUUAGUGGCGAACGGGUGAGUAACACGUGGGUAAUCUGCCCUGCACUCUGGGAUAAGCCUUGGAAACGAGGUCUAAUACCGGAUAUCACAACUCUUCGCAUGGAGGGUUGUUGAAAGUUCCGGCGGUGCAGGAUGAACCCGCGGCCUAUCAGCUUGUUGGUGGGGUAAUGGCCUACCAAGGCGACGACGGGUAGCCGGCCUGAGAGGGUGACCGGCCACACUGGGACUGAGACACGGCCCAGACUCCUACGGGAGGCAGCAGUGGGGAAUAUUGCACAAUGGGCGAAAGCCUGAUGCAGCGACGCCGCGUGAGGGAUGACGGCCUUCGGGUUGUAAACCUCUUUCGCCAGGGACGAAGCGCAAGUGACGGUACCUGGAUAAGAAGCACCGGCUAACUACGUGCCAGCAGCCGCGGUAAUACGUAGGGUGCGAGCGUUGUCCGGAUUUAUUGGGCGUAAAGAGCUCGUAGGCGGUUUGUCGCGUCGGCUGUGAAAUCUGGAGGCUUAACCUUCAGCGUGCAGUCGAUACGGGCAGACUUGAGUUCGGUAGGGGAGACUGGAAUUCCUGGUGUAGCGGUGAAAUGCGCAGAUAUCAGGAGGAACACCGGUGGCGAAGGCGGGUCUCUGGGCCGAUACUGACGCUGAGGAGCGAAAGCGUGGGGAGCGAACAGGAUUAGAUACCCUGGUAGUCCACGCUGUAAACGGUGGGUGCUAGGUGUGGGCCGACAUUCCACGUU